UGGCUCAGUUUUCCAGCAGCCGCAGACACCCAGAGCAAAAAUGAAUUUGUGUAUUUCAUUUAACACAAAGGGUGAAAUGUUUGCUGACACUGAUAACAGCUUAUGUUUUUUUUGCCCUAUGUAUUGACAUGAUGGAGAAGGAACAUCCUUUGUGUCAGCUGGACCCUCAGCAGAGAAUGAACUCAACAUCCUUUUUGUCCGGUACUUUAUGUCACACACUGUGCCAAAAAAAAAACGUGUACAGACGCCACUACCAGGUAAUCCCAUGACUGGGAGCCACACUUUUGUUUCUCUCACACUGUUCAACAACAUGAUAACUGCUCACA
rnacentral:sRNA from 1 species